rnacentral:rRNA from 1 species
AGUGAACGCUGGCGGUAGGCCUAACACAUGCAAGUCGAACGGCAGCACAGUAAGAGCUUGCUCUUACGGGUGGCGAGUGGCGGACGGGUGAGGAAUACAUCGGAAUCUACUUUUUCGUGGGGGAUAACGUAGGGAAACUUACGCUAAUACCGCAUACGACCUACGGGUGAAAGCAAGGGAUCUUCGGACCUUGCGCGUUUGAAUGAGCCGAUGUCGUAUUAGCUAGUUGGCGGGGUAAAGGCCCACCAAGGCGACGAUCCGUAGCUGGUCUGAGAGGAUGAUCAGCCACACUGGAACUGAGACACGGUCCAGACUCCUACGGGAGGCAGCAGUGGGGAAUAUUGGGCAAUGGGCGCAAGCCUGAUCCAGCCAUACCGCGUGGGUGAAGAAGGCCUUCGGGUUGUAAAGCCCUUUUGUUGGGAAAGAAAAGCAGCAGGUUAAUACCCCGCUGUUCUGACGGUACCCAAAGAAUAAGCACCGGCUAACUUCGUG